rnacentral:rRNA from 1 species
GACGAACGCUGGCGGCGCGCUUAACACAUGCAAGUCGAACGGAAAGGCCUGCUUUCCCUUGUGGCUUGCGGGUACUCGAGUGGCGAACGGGUGAGUAACACGUGAGUGAUCUGCCCCCAACUUGGGUAUAAGCCUGGGAAACUGGGUCUAAUUCCCGAUAGGACUGCAGGGUGGUGCCUUUGGUGGAACACGAUUUUCUAGUGGUUGGGGAUGAGCUCGCGGCCUAGCAGCUUGUUGGUGGGGUAAUGUCCUACCAAGGCGGCGACGGGUAGCCGGCGUGGGAGGGUGAACGGGCGACUUGGGACUGGGAUACGGCCCAGAGUCAUACGGGAGGCGGGAGUGGGGGAUAAUGCACGAGAGGCGGAAGCCUGAAGCAGCGACGCGGGGUGGGGGAUGACGGCCUUCGGGUUGUAGACUCCUGUGGAGCGCGAGGGAGCCAGCGGGUUGGAAGGGUGGUGACGGUAGUGGUAGAAGAAGCACCGGCUAACUACGUG